UACGUAGGGGGCAAGCGUUGUCCGGAAUCCUUGGGCGUAAAGAGCGUGUAGGCGGUUCGGUAAGUCGGCUGUGAAAGUCCAGGGCUCAACCCUGGGAUGCCGGUCGAUACUGCCGGACUAGAGUUCGGAAGAGGCGAGUGGAAUUCCCGGUGUAGCGGUGAAAUGCGCAGAUAUCGGGAGGAACACCUAUGGCGAAGGCAGCUCGCUGGGACGUUACUGACGCUGAGGCACGAAAGCGUGGGUAGCAAACAGG
rnacentral:rRNA from 1 species